rnacentral:rRNA from 1 species
UCCGUAGGUGAACCUGCGGAGGGAUCAUUUCCGAGUUUACAACUCCCAAACCUCUGUGAACAUACCACGUGUUGCCUGGGCGGAUCAGACCGCUCCCGGUAAAACGGGACGGCCCGCCAGAGGACCCCUAAACUCUGUUUCUAUAUGUAACUUCUGAGUAAAACCAUAAAUAAAUCAAAACUUUCAACAUCGGAUCUCUUGGUUCUGGCAUCGAUGAAGAACGCAGCAAAAUGCGAUAAGUAAUGUGAAUUGCAGAAUUCAGUGAAUCAUCGAAUCUUUGAACGCACAUCGCGCCCGCCAGUAUUCUGGCGGGCAUGCCUGUUCGAGCGUCAUUUCAACCCUCAAGCACAGCUUGGUGUUGGGACUCGCGUUAAUUCGCGUUCCUCAAAUUGAUUGGCGGUCACGUCGAGCUUCCAUAGCGUAGUAGUAAAACCCUCGUUACUGGUAAUCGUCGCGGCCACGCCGUUAAACCCCAACUUCUGAAUGUUGACCUCGGAUCAGGUAGGAAUACCCGCUGAACUUAAGCAUAUCAAUAAGCGGAGGA